UCCUCUUUCGCUCUAAACUGAUUCUUGGCCCAACUUAGAAAAAAUGAAACCUUUGUGUGUUGGCGUGCCCAUUAUUCUCCAUCUCUUACAUGUUGCAUCUUUUCUCAACCCAUUCUCCCUCUCUCACAUUCUCUCUACCCUAGGGUUUCCUCCCAACAUUUUCCUAUCUCCACAGUCAUCUCACCAUCAUUCAUAAUUUCUUCGUUCAUCGUUCAUCACUCACCAUCGUUCAUCAUCUUUACGUUCGUAGUUCAUCGUUCUUCACCAGCGAUUCUCUCCAUCAGCAAAGACUAACAAAGCCCAACCCCUCUCACUCGUCGCUCACCAACAAUUCCCCUCUCCUCUCAUAAUCUUCGUCGCUGCAGUCAUGAAAUAAAAGUUUUUGUCGCUUGCCUCGAAAACGAGUUUGAGGACCGCAGGACGAGGACCUUGAUUAGGGUGGUGAACGUAAAGAUGUACUUUUCUUUUCCCGAGAUGUUCCUCAAGUGAAGUUCAUGGUUGCUAAUGCUUCCAUUCAGUUAUGGCAUAAACGGUUGGGUCAUCCUUUGAUGAAAGUUCUGCGUAUGUUACCUUUCAUGAGUAAAUCUAGUCUAAAGAUAGAUGUGACAUUUAUUUUCAGACACAUCAUCCUAGAACUAGUUUUCCUUGUAGUAGGAGUAGGAUUUUGAGUUGGCUCAUUGUGAUAUACGGGGUCCUUAUGGCAUCCGUUCUUCUUUUUACGGAGCAUCUUAAUUUUUUACAGCAGAUGAUUAUUAUAGAAGUGUGUGGAUUUAUUUAUUAUAUAAUAAAGUUGAAGUCGAAAUCAUGUUUCUUAA